rnacentral:rRNA from 1 species
GCUAGUCCUGUGGUAGCGGCCGCGGUAAGACGGAGGGUGCAAUCGUGUAUCGGAAUUCCUGGGCGUAAAGCGCACGCAGGUGGUUGGAGAAGUUAGAUGUGAAAGCCCCGGGCUCAACCUGGGAAUUGCAUUUAAAACUGUCCAGCUAGAGUCUUGUAGAGGGGGGUAGAAUUCCAGGUGUAGCGGUGAAAUGCGUAGAGAUCUGGAGGAAUACCGGUGGCGAAGGCGGCCCCCUGGACAAAGACUGACGCUCAGGUGCGAAAGCGUGGGGAGCAAACAGGAUUAGAUACCCGGGUAGUC